GGUUCCGUAGUGUAGCGGUUAAUACCCUGGACUUUGAAUCCAGUAACGCGAGUUCGAAUCUCGCCGGAACCU
rnacentral:tRNA from 1 species